rnacentral:rRNA from 1 species
UGAGGGGGAUAUUUGGGGGCAAUGGGGGAAACCCUGACCCAGCAACGCCGCGUGAGGGAUGACGGUUUUCGGAUUGUAAACCUCUGUCCUCUGUGAAGAUAGUGACGGUAGCAGAGGAGGAAGCUCCGGCUAACUACGUGCCAGCAGCCGCGGUAAUACGUAGGGAGCGAGCGUUGUCCGGAUUUACUGGGUGUAAAGGGUGCGUAGGCGGAUUGGCAAGUCAGAAGUGAAAUCCAUGGGCUUAACCCAUGAACUGCUUUUGAAACUGUUAGUCUUGAGUGAAGUAGAGGUAGGCGGAAUUCCCGGUGUAGCGGUGAAAUGCGUAGAGAUCGGGAGGAACACCAGUGGCGAAGGCGGCCUACUGGGGCUUUAACUG